UACGGGGGGAGCAAGCGUUGUUCGGAUUUACUGGGCGUAAAGGGCGCGUAGGCGGUCAGCACAAGUCAGUUGUGAAAUCUCCGGGCUUAACUCGGAAAGGUCAACUGAUACUGUGCGACUAGAGUGCAGAAGGGGCAACUGGAAUUCUCGGUGUAGCGGUGAAAUGCGUAGAUAUCAGGAGGAACACCGGUGGCGAAGGCGGGUCUCUGGGCAACUACUGACGCUGAGGAGCGAAAGCGUGGGGAGCGAACAGG
rnacentral:rRNA from 1 species